AGCAACGUGAGUUUGUAACCCGAGUGGGGGCUUUAAUGUGGUGGGACGUUGACCAUGCUUAUAAGGUCGGGUCCAGUGCGGCUGUUAUCUGGCCCGCCCGUUCCAAGCCAGGAGUUGAACCAAGGCAUCUUAGUGAAGACCUGGGUGUCUCAGCUCUUAGAGUGGAGGGCAUAGCGUGAGGCUGGUCUCACAGAGCAGCGAUCACCUCUCGCUCCUGGCAGUGGAAGGAUAACGGGUCGGUGCCAUCUGGAUCCGCAUGGCCUGAUGGGCUGGUCCUAAUUGAACCAUCACUUUUUAUCAUUUUUCUUGACGUACUUCAGCGGUUCGAUUAAGUUUUUUGAUUUUUUUUUUUACCAACCACCCAAAAUGAGAUGGCACAUCAGCUGGCAGUGGAAGAAAAAUGGACUGCUGCUGAGAUAGGACACGUACCAGUCAGCCAAAAAAAUUCCUUUGUCAAUCAAAUCAUAAUCUAAUGAAAAUGGCUUC
rnacentral:lncRNA from 1 species